rnacentral:lncRNA from 1 species
GCGAGACUCUGUGGGGGUAGGACCCUCUGAGCCACGUGCCGGAUAUAAUCUCGUGGUGCGCCGUUUUUUUAAGCCGUUCGGAAAAGCACAGUAUUCGGGUGGGAGUGACCCGAUUUUCCAGGUGCGUCUGUCACCCCUUUCUUUCACUCAGAAAGGGAACUCCCUGACCCCUUGCGCUUCCCAAGUGAGGCAAUGCCUCGCCCUGCUUCGGCUCGCGCACGGUGCGCGCACCCACUGACCUUCGCCCACUGUCUGCCACUCCCAAGUGAGAUGAACCCGGUACCUCAGAUGGAAAUGCAGAAAUCACCUGUCUUCUGCGUCGCUCACGCUGGGAGCUGUAGACUGGAGCUGUUCCUAUUCGGCCAUCUUGGCUCCUCUCAGAUGAUAAAAUUCAGGCCAAGAGAAGCAAAGACAGCAAAGACUGACAUAAAAAAGAAACAACAAAAACAACUCUUGUUAAUGAUGUAGAAUUAAUCUGAAUUCUCCAAAAACCUGCCUCUUUUGGAGGACUCCUUAUUGCUGCUGCCAUGGGAAGAAGGAUGUGUUCGCUUCUCCACUACUGUGGUUGUAAAUUUUCUGAAACCUCCACAGCCAUGCUGAACUGGAUCAUUGAAGUAGCAGUGGCAACGAUGUUAUGAAAGUUCCAUGGACGUCAGAGAUCCAGGAUCUUCUUGUUUCCUCACCACCAUCAUCAACUUCUCUGUCUUUUUUGCAUCCCACUGCUUGUAUUCAAUUUGAAAACGGCUUGCAUUCUUGGAAGGUAAAGGGAUAAGAAGCUGUGAAGGUUACGUAAUGGAGAUGAAAGGCAAGCUACAGGAAGUGAAAUUGGCAAUUCUUCUUGGUCCCUGUUUGGGAAAAUGUGAAUCUCAUCCUCUCAGUUUCUAGUUUGACAGACUAUAAGAAGGGACAUACCUAACAAAGAAUACAUCUUGCAGAUUGCUACAUAAAGAGUAAGUACAUUGACAAAUAUUAUGUACUUAAAAUAUAUACAGCUCUGUACUUAGCAUGCCACAUAGAAUUCCUUAAUAUUCCUCUUAACAGCUGUACAAGUUAACUUGACUUUUAUACGCAUUAUACACAUGAAAAAAAUGAGAUGAGAAAGGCCAAAUAAAAUGAAUGAAUGAAUGAAUGAGUUUUUAAAAUUUAUUUUGACAUGAGAGCCAAUCCUAUCAGCCUUGCUGAUUUCUUCAAAAUACUUGCAAAUAAGUUGCUAUAAUAUAAAAACAUCUUCUUAUUGUUUCUCUCUCCUUAAGGAUUUCUCUGAGACAUUUCUAAUAUUUAAAUCUUUUUUCCCAUAGGUUGUCUUUCACGGUACUUUGUAUACACUACUUUGGGUUCAUAUGCCUCAAGUGAAAAAUUGGUCUAAUAACAUUAAUACCUCUGUCACAACCCCAUUGCACAUGAUCAGUUCUAAUAAUGGGUUUUAAAGUAAUUUUGUUUUAUUUUAAAUUACUAUUCAGAUAUCAGUCACUAUGACAUCAGACUUUUUACUCUCUGUGAUAGUUAUAUAUCAACUUAGCUGGAGUAUAGUAUCAAGUUAUUCAAUAAAACACUAAUCUAGGUGUCACUGUGAAGGGAUUUUGUAGAUAUGAUUAACAUCUACAUUUAGUUGACACUAAGUAAAGGAGAUUUUCCUUGAUAAUGUGGUCAAGCCUCAUCCAAUCAAUUGAAAGGCCUGAGCUUUUCUAGAGGAAGAAGUAAUUUUAUCUCAGGACUCCAGCAUUAGCUACUGCUGGACAAUCCCAGCAUCCCAACCUGCCCAACAGAUUUUAGACUAGACUUACCACCUCAUAUGAGCACAUAGCAGAUUCCCAGAAAUCAAUCUAUCUACCUAUGUAUCUAUCAAUCUAUCAUCUCUCUCCUACUGCUUCUGUUUCUGUAGAUGACACUGACAGAUGUGAAUAUUCACAUAAAAGCUGUCAAUAUGCAUGUUCCUUCCUACUACUUGUACCAAUUAAGCAAAGAGUGUAACGGAUGCAUAUUUUUCUAAAGAAUUUCUGUAUGUGUUCUCCGAUUAUUGGUCAGAAAUAAAAAUAUGUUUAUAAUGCAAAAUUCAUAAAAUGUGUAUAAAUGAUAAUGUAUAUGCCUAUAUAAGUGUGUGUUUUUCUGUGUAUACAUAUAUGUAUAUAUGAGUGUGUGUGUAUGUGUGUGCAUUUUUUUGUAACUGAUACUGUGGCCUUUUAUAUCUACCAAAAUCCAGGACUAGUUUAGAAAAGAAAUUACAGCAGCAUUCUAAAAUUUACUUGUUUGAUAUAAAUAUAUUUUUGUAACUUUUUUUGCCUGACAUUUGUGCUGUAAAUCAAAAGUACUUUUGUGAAAGCAAUUUUUUUAAACAAUCUUCUCUGAAAUUGUGUAGGAGGAAGUGAAUCGCUACCACUCAAUCCUGACAUUAAUUCAACAGACACAUAUUUUGAUUUCUGAAGAAUUAUGGAAACAUUCUUUCAGAAGAGAACAAUGAAAGAUAGCAUUCUGUGUUUAGCACAUUUCCCCUUUCCAAGUGGCAGUGGAGCGUUGUAACAGCAAAGUAAAUUGCUUCUUAUUUCUAUGUGCUUUUUAAAACUGUGACACUGACUGAGCUGAACCACCAAGACCACAUCUGUACACAGCUAAAUAAAAGGUUUUACAUGAUGGCAAAACUGGGCAGAAUUAAUUUGUCCUUGGAUGUACUGAUGAUUGCAAUGCUUACACCACUGCUUUAUACACAGUAGGGUAACACUCAGAGUACUAUCAUGAAAUUCAGUUUUUAAUUUAAAAGAUUUUGAAAAAAGGACUCAUUACACAGGUAUGGCCAAGAUGAAGAGACACAGAAACGUCUGAUUGUAUACUGUAGCAUUAGUGACAGAUUGCCUGAGCAAGAAGUGAGAAAAAUAUUACUGAAGCCUCAGAGAGUUUGAAGCUUUAGAAAUAAAGCUGCCUAGCAAGAAUUGCAACCAUAGAAUAUAGUCAUUGCCCCAGAUUGAAGCAAGGCAAGGACAGGGGUUUGUUAGGAGUGAUGAAUACCUUGAUCUUUCUCUGUUCCAGCCAGCCCUCUAAUUUUCUGUGAUACUACUGGCCAAACCCAAUCAGAGGCUAAAAUUCAAGUGAUAUUGGGUGAUACGUGUGUAGGGCCAAAACUCCUUGAAAACAGAACAGGGAAGGGCUUGGAACAAUGGAGUUUCAAGGAGAGUAGCAAAUUAACAUAGUAGACAUACAAUCUAUAAGUUCGAGUUGAGGGCAGAAAUCAGUCUAGGCUGUUCAAUGGUAUGAAGUCAGGAACAAGGAUCAUACUUCUGAGCCAUAUGGAGGUAAGAUGCUAGAGGGAGAUGGUAAGUAAGCUACUAUUUUUUCCACUUAUGUAAGUAGAAA